GUUAAAACUCAAAUGAAUUGACGGGGGCCCGCACAAGCGGUGGAGCAUGUGGUUUAAUUCGAUGCAACGCGAAGAACCUUACCUGGUCUUGACAUCCACAGAAGUUUCCAGAGAUGAGAUUGUGCCUUCGGGAACUGUGAGACAGGUGCUGCAUGGCUGUCGUCAGCUCGUGUUGUGAAAUGUUGGGUUAAGUCCCGCAACGAGCGCAACCCUUAUCCUUUGUUGCCAGCGAUUAGGUCGGGAACUCAAAGGAGACUGCCAGUGAUAAACUGGAGGAAGGUGGGGAUGACGUCAAGUCAUCAUGGCCCUUACGACCAGGGCUACACACGUGCUACAA
rnacentral:rRNA from 1 species